AUCCAGACUCCUACGGGAGGCAGCAGUGGGGAAUAUUGGGCAAUGGAGGCAACUCUGACCCAGCAACGCCGCGUGAGCGAUGAAGGUCUUCGGAUUGUAAAGCUCUGUCGCAGGGGACGAAGUAUGACGGUACCCUGUAAGAAAGCCCCGGCUAACUACGUGCCAGCAGCCGCGGUAAUACGUAGGGGGCAAGCGUUAUCCGGAUUCACUGGGUGUAAAGGGAGCGUAGACGGCCAUGCAAGCCUGGAGUGAAAGCCCGGGGCCCAACCCCGGGACUGCUCUGGGAACUGUGCGGCUGGAGUGCGGGAGGGGCAGGCGGAAUUCCUGGUGUAGCGGUGAAAUGCGUAGAUAUCAGGAGGAACACCGGCGGCGAAGGCGGCCUGCUGGACCGCGACUGACGUUGAGGCUCGAAAGCGUGGGGAGCAAACAGGAUUAGAUACCCUGGUAAC
rnacentral:rRNA from 1 species